GUCAUUAUUAUGUCACAUAAGAUUAUGACUUCUAUCUUGCUAGUAGACCCUCUCCAUUAACUCUCUCUCUUUCUGAUUGAGUGUAAGCUGCUAUAUGAAGGGAUCCACAAGACGAAUAAUUAAGGGGGACCUCUGAUCAACAGCCAGCAAGGAACUGAAUCCCUCAGACCCACAACUCACAAGAAACUGAAGCUGAAGCAGAUUCUUCCUCAGUCAAGCUUCAGGUGCCCAGCUGUAUUGGUAGAGGAGACCAACCACACCCUCCACAGCACAGCACCUGGAGAGGAACUGCUGCCAUGACCAUAGAGGACACCCUCUGGAUACAAUGCCAGACUUGAUGUGGGACUGACCAACCUAUGGACCCCAGGCACCACCACCCAGACCUGCUCAGCACCUGAAAGGGACCUCUGACCCAAGAGUUCGGUCAAUGCAUAUGUUGGCAGCCAGCUGCACAUCGCACCAAAUAUGAACUUCAAAUAGAAGAAAGCCUCAUUUGGAAGAAAGCUCAUGCACAGACUGUAAAUAUUUCAGAGCAGAUUGUGUCUCUGUAGAUUAAGUAAGUUGUGAAAGUCUGAACCUCUGCCAAAAUUUUAAGACCUUGACCUUUACAUCUCUGAGUUUCUAUCUGUCAUUUUUC
rnacentral:lncRNA from 1 species